AACGAACGCUGGCGGCAGGCUUAACACAUGCAAGUCGAACGGUUGUAGCAAUACAGCAGUGGCAGACGGGUGAGUAACACGUGGGAACCUUCCUAGGGGUACGAACAACUCAGGGAAACUUGAGCUAAUACCGUAUACGUCCGUGAGGAGAAAGUUUUAACGCCCCUAGACGGGCCCGCGUAGGAUUAGGUAGUUGGUGAGGUAACGGCUCACCAAGCCUACGAUCCUUAGCUGAUCUGAGAGGANGAUCAGCCACACUGGGACUGAGACACGGCCCAGACUCCUACGGGAGGCAGCAGUGGGGAAUCUUGGACAAUGGGCGCAAGCCUGAUCCAGCCA
rnacentral:rRNA from 1 species